AUUGAACGCUGGCGGCAGGCCUAACACAUGCAAGUCGAGCGGAAACGACACUAACAAUCCUUCGGGUGCGUUAAUGGGCGUCGAGCGGCGGACGGGUGAGUAAUGCCUAGGAAAUUGCCUUGAUGUGGGGGAUAACCAUUGGAAACGAUGGCUAAUACCGCAUAAUGCCUACGGGCCAAAGAGGGGGACCCUCGGGCCUCUCGCGUCAAGAUAUGCCUAGGUGGGAUUAGCUAGUUGGUGAGGUAAUGGCUCACCAAGGCAACGAUCCCUAGCUGGUCUGAGAGGAUGAUCAGCCACACUGGAACUGAGACACGGUCCAGACUCCUACGGGAGGCAGCAGUGGGGAAUAUUGCACAAUGGGCGAAAGCCUGAUGCAGCCAUGCCGCGUGUAUGAAGAAGGCCUUCGGGUUGUAAAGUACUUUCAGUUGUGAGGAAGGGUGUGUAGUUAAUAGCUGCGCAUCUUGACGUUAGCAACAGAAGAAGCACCGGCUAACUCCGUGCCAGCAGCCGCGGUAAUACGGAGGGUGCGAGCGUUAAUCGGAAUUACUGGGCGUAAAGCGCAUGCAGGUGGUUCAUUAAGUCAGAUGUGAAAGCCCGGGGCUCAACCUCGGAACUGCAUUUGAAACUGGUGAACUAGAGUGCUGUA
rnacentral:rRNA from 1 species